rnacentral:misc_RNA from 1 species
CGCCUUGCCUCAUUGGGCGCGCCUCAAUGGGCCUCAUGCCUCGCUUGCGCCUCGGUGCUCCUCGGUGAGGUGGUGCGCCUUGGCUGUCCCGAGGCGCUUGGGGCUGCGCCUUUGAUAACAAUGCUACCAACUAGUGAGAAAAGCUCUUAAAAUUAAAAUGAUACAAAAUGCAAUUGAUAAAUAAUUUAUCUUCAAUUAUCAGCUAUGGUUUUGAUAAGUUUAUUAAAUAAAUUAAUUUAAUUAUUUAGAUGUCUAUCGGCUAUUAACUUCAUCUAACAAUUGAAUCAAACACCCUUCAACAGAAUUAUUAUUAGUUUUGAAUAUGUUGAUAUUGCAAGGACUUUUAUUUUGGUGCAAUUGAAUAACAUAUUAACUUAAAUUUAAAAAAAAAAAGUUAGGAAAAAAAGAAACUCCUGCCCCAUCUCUCACUAUAACAGUUUGGUUGGCUCUCUCCUGGGUAUCACCAGCCAUUGAGACUGGCAGCAUGCACCCUCGCAUCUCCUCUUUCAUUUUCUUUUUCUUUUUCUAUUUUGCAUUUUAUAGAGGGUCAAUAGGUUUCUAUUUGCCUUUUCCUUGGUUGUGCUGUGGUUGCCAAGGACUCUUUGCAAUUGCUUGAUGGUGAGGUAGGACAAGGGUUUCUAACUAAAGUUCUUCAGUUGAUGGUGGAGCUGAUGUAUAGAUUUGAAAAUUCAAUCUAGCAUUAAUGGUAGUUUGUAAGUUUGUUGUCGCAUCUGUUAAAUCAGAUAACUGUGGAUUUUUCUCCACCUCCAGACAAAAUCUUUUCUUUUUUUAAUGGUUCAUUUGGCCCUGAAAUUUACAGUAUGCUUGAGAGAGUUUUCAGAGAUAAGGUAUAGAUUUUUGAAAAUAGUGAAUUUAUUUGGAAGGAAGAUUUUUAAAGAGUAUAAGAUUUUCAGAGGUUUCAAAAUCUCAAAAAAACUUCACUUUUCAACUUUUGGUGAGUCGAGAAGGUUUUAAUAUAUUUUAUCCUAGCAUAUAAUUAAUACCAUCAAAAUUUAAUUAGAGUUAACUUUGCAACUUUGAAUUUCGACCAUUUCUCAAUUUAAAAUCUGCUGUAACUGUAUAGUUAAUCUGAUUGGGUGAAUAUAUACACUCAAAUAUAGAUGAGAACAACUAUUUAAUGUUUUGAAAUUACUCAAUAUUUAGGUAGCAUUAAAUAUUUUUAUGCUUUUAGAAUUAAUUUCAUCUCUUGUAUUGUGCUCUUGAAGGCUCUUUGAUGGAAAUCACCCAUGUAAAAAAAAUGACUUUUUUUAAUAUCCAAAAUAACAUUAAGAACUUAUUUGUUUUAGAGAACAACAUUAA